rnacentral:rRNA from 1 species
UACGUAGGGUGCGAGCGUUAAUCGGAAUUACUGGGCGUAAAGCGUGCGCAGGCGGUUCUCCAAGUCCGUUGUGAAAGCCCCGGGCUCAACCUGGGAAUGGCAGUGGAAACUAGGGGACUGGAAUCUGGCAGAGGGGGAUGGAAUUCCGCGUGUAGCAGUGAAAUGCGUAGAUAUGCGGAGGAACACCGAUGGCGAAGGCAAUCCCCUGGGCCUGCACUGACGCUCAUGCACGAAAGCGUGGGGAGCAAACAGG